GCGCCGGGCUGAGCUGCCGCUUCUCCUCCGCGGGCAGCGGCGUCCGCAGCAUGGUGGGGAAAGACGGGAAAAAGAGAGAAAAGUAACAUGACUAUUGUGUACCCUACAGUGUUUGGAUGCACAGGAUCAGCACUGGUCAAAAUUGCUGUGGUUUGCACCUCUAAGGACUUUUAUUGCCUCCUGUUCUUCAGACACAAACACAAACAUUUCAUUUAUUCCUUCCUAAUUUAGUCCUGUAAUUCCAAACAAUUUCUCACCACACUGACAGUUUUUGCUUCAUUUUACAACUUUGGACACAGUUGCCCAGCUCUUCACUUCAGAAAGCAAUAUUCUGCUUUCUCUCAUACCAGCCCAGAAAAUCAAGUUCUAGUAAGUAAUCUCUAAAGUUUCUCUUCAAGCCUUCCACAUUGUAUUCAUCAAAGUAAUAAUAAUUGGAUCCAAUAAUUAUUGUGUGUAAUUGUCCUUCAACUGUAAUUGUCCUUUUUACCUGGGGAGAGAUUAACAACAUGGUGCUUAACUUGAAAACUUUCAUGGCAUAAUAACUCAGGAAAUUAGGAGACACAUCAGUGCUUUCUCGAUUGUUCUUUUUGUGUAUUUCUGUGACAAAAUUGUCCUAGAUGUGGUCGAUAGCUUUCCCAAGGGCUGAACAUAAUCUUGGCCAAAAUGCAUUUGGUCUAUUUGAGAUUCAUUUUUAAUAAUGAGCUUAGAUGUAAUCAAGUUCUUUAAACAAAGUAUCCUUUGAAAUUGGAAACAAAAGAAACGUAAACCAGCUACAUGGCUUAAAUAGCUUGGCUUUCUAAUCAUAAUCUGGGAUCAUUUGCGUAGAAAUUCUUGAGUAUAAUUGAAGAGUGUGUAAAUUGAUGCCUUGUUCAGGGAAAAAUAUUCUAUUACCUGACUACUGGUGUAGUGUAGAAUGUAUGUAGAAAAAAAAAAAAAAAAGAUGGUAACAGAGAGUGUAUCUUGUGUUGGAGCUCUGACUGUAUAAGUUACUGAAUUUACUGCCUUUGUUUCAUUUUAUCAAUGAGGAAGCUGAUGUUUUUCAUUAUUUUUUCCUUGAACAAUACAGUUUGAGAAAUUAAUUUGUAAAUUAAUGUCAAGACAGUUAAGGUGAUGCAGGCAGUAACUGUCUGUGUGUUCCUCAACUUUAUCAGUUUUACAUAUCAGCUAUCAGUUUUACAUGAGAUGCUUUAUUACAUUUAAAAAUAGCAUUAUUACAGCCAUUAUCAGUUAACAAAACAAGCAAAUCCCCCCCAAAGACACCCAAACUCUAGACAAUGAACCUUCAGAAAACCCAUGCAAGUGCAGUUCACUCAGGAAAAUCAAGUCUUAAACAAACCCAAAUGAAUGUUUGCAUAAACACCAGCAUCAUCUGUUAUCAAAGUUUGUAUCUAAGUGUGUGUUGUGGCAAACACUGUGGAUUCUCUGUUUUGUAAAAUGUAAAGAAACUUUCAGUAAAUAAAUUUUUCAAUAUGCAGUCUAAACCUU